UUGCACGCUGGCGGCAGGCUUAACCCAUGCAAGUCGCGCGGGGAAGAGUAGCUUGCUACUUGACCUAGCGGCGGACGGGUGAGUAAUGCUUAGGAAUCUGCCUAUUAGUGGGGGACAACAUCUCGAAAGGGAUGCUAAUACCGCAUACGUCCUACGGGAGAAAGCAGGGGACCUUCGGGCCUUGCGCUAAUAGAUGAGCCUAAGUCGGAUUAGCUAGUUGGUGGGGUAAAGGCCUACCAAGGCGACGAUCUGUAGCGGGUCUGAGAGGAUGAUCCGCCACACUGGGACUGAGACACGGCCCAGACUCCUACGGGAGGCAGCAGUGGGGAAUAUUGGACAAUGGGGGGAACCCUGAUCCAGCCAUGCCGCGUGUGUGAAGAAGGCCUUUUGGUUGUAAAGCACUUUAAGCGAGGAGGAGGCUACCGAGAUUAAUACUCUUGGAUAGUGGACGUUACUCGCAGAAUAAGCACCGGCUAACUCUG
rnacentral:rRNA from 1 species